rnacentral:lncRNA from 1 species
CGAACACUAAUUAAUAGUGCAUCCCCUCACAUGUGAGCCUAAUCACCCCUUUUGCCCUCCCCCUUCCCCAAUGGUGAGUCGGCUAUGUCUCCUUCCUGAUCUUGGAGAAGUGGCCUUAUGUAUGAGAUGACUUAUGAGGCCCAGCAGUGUUCGCCCUCUUGUCAUCAGACUCUAAGAACCAGGAGUGACCCCUUUGUGGGCUACUUGUGUUCUUCUGCUGUGGCAGGGUUGCUCCCACUGCAGUGGGUGUGGCAGACCCCUGGGCUAACAGCCCAAGUGAUGCACCUCAAUGGCCCCCACCAGUGUCACCUGGAUCAUCAGCACACCUGGACCAGCUCAGAACAAUGGUCCCCACCAAUGUCUCAGUC